rnacentral:lncRNA from 1 species
AGUCAGAGAACUGGGAAGUCGAAGGAAUGUGGUAAGCAGUUCCACGCCUAUGUAUACUUCUGCCAUGAUUGGCUGCCUCAUUAUAGAUCUCCAUCCAGUCAUAGACUACAAUCUCCAAGGCUGAGCGCCAAGCCAGCUUUCUCUUCAUACGCGUAGGAUGUCAGAUGUUUUGUUAUAGGAUGGAAAGCUAACUGAGAGCAUUACCUUCUGACUAAGGGCAUCCAUCAGGCUUGCUGAAUUCCUUGACUCUAGGGUCUAUCUGCUCCAACCCCCUAUUACACUGCUGCCAGAACCUUUCCCCCUGAAAUACCUCAGCUACAAGAGCAUCCUUCAAAAACCUGACGCUGGGUGUGACAGGAACUUGACAGAUUCAACACAGACAAGCUGUCACUAAGUUCUGCAGUGUCUCCUAAAAGUGGGACCUAGCCUUUAGUUCGCAGCUUGUUGGAAGUCAAGAGGUACCUCAGGAAGUGUGAGGGGACCUAGAGUUGUGCUCAGGGAGCACUCUCUUUUGAAUCCACCCCCUUGAAGGACCAAUCUCUGGGGGAUUAUGGUAAAAAUUUAGCCACUACCUGUAUACCAAGCAAGCAUCAGUUUUGUAAGUCCUUCUCAAAAAUGCU